rnacentral:rRNA from 1 species
UACAGAGGGUGCAAGCGUUAAUCGGAAUUACUGGGCGUAAAGCGUGCGUAGACGGUUACAUAAGUCGGGUGUGAAAGCCCCGGGCUCAACCUGGGAAUUGCAUUCGAGACUGCGUAGCUAGGGUGCGGAAGAGGGAAGCGGAAUUUCCGGGUGUAGCGGUGAAAUGCGUAGAUAUCGGAAGGAACACCAGUGGCGAAAGCGGCUUCCUGGGUCCAGCACCGACGUUCAGGCACGAAAGCGUGG